UACGAAGGGGGCUAGCGUUGCUCGGAAUCACUGGGCGUAAAGCGCACGUAGGCGGGUUCUUAAGUCAGGGGUGAAAUCCUGGAGCUCAACUCCAGAACUGCCUUUGAUACUGGGAAUCUCGAGUCCGGGAGAGGUGAGUGGAACUGCGAGUGUAGAGGUGAAAUUCGUAGAUAUUCGCAAGAACACCAGUGGCGAAGGCGGACUCACUGGCCCGGUACUGACGCUGAGGUGCGGAAAGCGUG
rnacentral:rRNA from 1 species